GGAUAAAGCUGUGAAGGCUUUUGAUAUUGCUCAGAAGAUGGGCAUUUCUUUGGAUGAAAAGGCUUAUACCAACUUGAUAUGUUAUUAUGGAAAGGCUGGGAAAUAUGAUGAAGCAUCUAAUCUAUUUGUCAGAAUGCAGGAAGCAGGGAUAAAACCUGGACAGGUGAGCUGCAACGUCAUGAUGAAUGUAUAUGCGGCUGCUGGACUUCAUCAAGAAGCUGAAGUCCUCAUGCAUAGCA
rnacentral:misc_RNA from 1 species